GUGAGGAAUAUUGCGCAAUGGAGGCAACUCUGACGCAGCCAUGCCGCGUGCAGGAAGAAGGCGCUACGCGUUGUAAACUGCUUUUAACCGGGAAGAAACCCCAGGACGUGUCCUGGGUUGACGGUACCGGAGGAAUAAGCACCGGCUAACUUCGUGCCAGCAGCCGCGGUAAUACGAAGGGUGCAAGCGUUAUCCGGAUUCAUUGGGUUUAAAGGGUGCGUAGGCGGAGCGUUAAGUCAGUGGUGAAAUCCUGCAGCUUAACUGUAGACUUGCCAUUGAUACUGGCGCUCUUGAGUGCGCUUGAAGUGGGCGGAAUGUGCCGUGUAGCGGUGAAAUGCUUAGAUAUGGCACAGAACACCAAUUGCGAAGGCAGCUCACUAAGGCGAUACUGACGCUGAUGCGCGAAAGCGUGGGGAUCGAACAGGAUUAGAUACCCCGGUAGUCC
rnacentral:rRNA from 1 species